GAUGAACGCUGGCGGCGUGCCUAAUACAUGCCAGUCGAGCGAACGGACGAGAAGCUUGCUUCUCUGAUGUUAGCGGCGGACGGGUGAGUAACACGUGGAUAACCUACCUAUAAGACUGGGAUAACUUCGGGAAACCGGAGCUAAUACCGGAUGAUAUUUUGAACCGCAUGGUUCAAAAGUGAAAGACGGUCUUGCUGUCACUUAUAGAUGGAUCCGCGCUGCAUUAGCUAGUUGGUAAGGUAACGGCUUACCAAGGCAACGAUGCAUAGCCGACCUGAGAGGGUGAUCGGCCACACUGGAACUGAGACACGGUCCAGACUCCUACGGGAGGCAGCAGUAGGGAAUCUUCCGCAAUGGGCGAAAGCCUGACGGAGCAACGCCGCGUGAGUGAUGAAGGUCCUCGGAUCGUAAAACUCUGUUAUUAGGGAAGAACAUAUGUGUAAGUAACUGUGCACAUCUUGACGGUACCUAAUCAGAAAGCCACGGCUAACUACGUG
rnacentral:rRNA from 1 species